AACGCACAUUGCGCCCCCCGGCAUUCCGAGGGGCAUGCCUGUCCGAGCGUCAUUACAAGAUCCAGCCUCUGGCUCGGUGUUGGGCCCCGUCCGCGCAGGGCGGGCCCGAAAAUCUGCGGAGGCCGCGUCCGGCCCUGACCCCAGUGAAUCUCAGGCUGAUGGGUCCGGUCGCGCUCUCUGGCCAGCCCGGGGGUUCGAGGUGCCGCCUCGUCCCCCCAGUUCUACGUUUGACCUCGGAUCAGGUAGGGAUACCCCCUGAACUUAA
rnacentral:misc_RNA from 1 species